rnacentral:lncRNA from 1 species
AGAAAAUCUAUUGUUUCACUUGUGCACUAGUCUAUUCCACAAAUAAUACACUGUACUUUGUAAAGUCUUCUGAGUAUCUGAACUAAAAGGUCCAUCAGGAUAAAAAAUUAGACCUGUUGGUGAAUUGUAUAAUGUUGUAUUUGGGUAACACAUGCUCUUCCUGAGGAGAAAUUAAUUCAACUACUAAUAUUCAGGAACUGGAGAAGUCUGAUAUUGAUUCCAUGACUUCCUAUGUGCCUAGCACCAUACUAAGAAAUUUGUAUACAAUUUUGAAUUAAAAACUUGUAAUUAGGAUUCAGUUUUGUUUUCUUUAAUUAAAAAAGAGAAGCCUGAGUUUUAAGAAGAAAAGCUAAUUUUCCCAAGUAACAAAGCAGGAACUUAAAAGUACAAUGUGACUUUGGAGCUUCAUUCCAAAAAUUAAUGACAGCACUUUGGAGCUCCUAUUCCAAAAAUUAGUGACAGAAACCCAGACUUCUCUAAAGAUAAUUACCUUAAAAUUACAAAGCCAGGGUAAACAUGAUAUUCUUCAAUCCUUGAAUGGUGAAGCUGGAAGAGAACUUAAAAUAAUAUCUAGCUUAGUCAAGGUUUAUAAUCAGUUCUUAGCUGUGAAACUCUCUUUAAAUAAAAUCUUACCUGGAAGCUAGAAGAAAUAAACUAUAUAAGUUUGGAGAAAUCUAUUGAAGAUAGAAGGGACAAUGUUAGGCUUAUAGGAUUCCUAGUUUCAGGUGCUUUCUAAGGGCAAAUCAAAGAAUCCUUCCAUAAUCAAUUCCUAGAGGAAUAAUUUGAAAAUCCAUUAUUAAGUAUAACAUCU